CUCUGGUUAUAGCAGAAAGAGGCCACUUGACAGCUGUCUGGGAAAUAGUGGGGAGCACUUUGUGCGGAGUUGAGCAGAGGCUCCGGGAGUGUCUCUGUCUGAAGGCUCUAAACGGCUUCUGAGAUGGACUCUUGAGAGGGUUGAGGAAACUGCAAAGCUGGCUGUACUAACCUGCAGGCGAUGGCGUGAUGGGGUCUGGGAGGUGGCUGCUGCUGCUGCUUCCUGACAGCUGUCAAGGCAAGAAGAGGAGCAUGAAGCAAAGGGAGGCGCUGCACUUCUCCACUGGGGAAGCUGGGCAGGGGAUUCUGAUGGGGACGGCUCUUUCUGCUCUGCGAUUUCAGGAGGUGGCUUUAAAGUUUAAAGGGACCAGCGCUGUUGCUCUGGGCUAGGAAGCAGAGCUCACUGCUCACCACACCUCUCUGGGGCUGUGGGGCUGUACUCACUCCUGUUCCGUGAGCCUCCGCAAGCACUGCGCGGCCAGCCACUGCUCAAACAGGAGGUGUGUUAAUUUUGAAAACGAUCCACGCUGUAAUGUCAUGAACCAGGAAGCUGGAGGCCUUUACCAGCUCUUUAUGCAAAUAUUUGGCUGCAGCUUGAGCUGAAGGACUUGGAAGGAGCGGGUUUUUAAAAAUCUGCUUCAUUGUAGAGUUUGUUUUUAACCCCCUGCGUUCCCCGGAUUGGCCUGUUUGCUUGCUUCCCUGUUAUCUCCUGGAGAACACAAAGAGAAGAAAAGAAGGAGGAGGAGGAGGAGGAGGAGGAGGAGGAGAAGAAGAAAAAGAAGAGGAAGAAGAGGAAGAAGAAGAAGAGCUUUGAAAAGCACCCACAUUUCUCAAACUUGAAAAGGCAUUUCUCAGAGAACUUUUCUGUGCAGAGUUCUCCAGCAAGAGCUGCAGCUCUGAGUAAAGGCAUCCCGAGGCUUCCUAGGACCGCGCAGUCGCCUGGAGGCCGCCCUCCGGAAGGGGCCGCCCCUGAUCCGACUGAGCCGGGCCGGGUAGCCUGGGGAGAGCCCAAGUGGCCGGCCAUGCUAGGCGGGGGUCGGCUGGGAGGGACCCGUGACAGCCUGGGGGUCCUCGGCAGAGCACAGAAAAGCGGAGGAAAUACACCCGGGAUCCAAGUGCCCCUGGCCCUCAUGACCCGACCCCUGGAGAAGCGUCUGAGUUACCUGACAUCCUGGUCAGCAGGAGCUGGGCCGCAGACUGGAUGCUACAGCUUCAGAGACUCAGCACCUGGGAGGGCUCCUGUGCAGGGAGAAAAGCAGAGAUGCGACAUUUUUAAAGUUUCACAAAACACAAGGCAGCACCCAGGUCCCUGGAGCAGAAGACACACAGAAUUAAUGUUUUAUACCUUCGGGUAUAGGUUUGAGUUUUUUCCCCCUCAUGCCAAGUAUUUAAAACCUCUAGAAACCCAUGAUUUGACAAUCAAUGAUUGCGCGAUACUUUCAAUUUGAAUAUUCAAAGGCUUAACAAAAUGGACUAUCUUCUGCAGAAAUCCUGCACACAGGCACCCCACAGAGAGUCCAGAGAAACAGGGAGUGAGAUCCCUUUGGGUCCUGACCCUUGCUUUUCUCCUAUUUUAAGCUUUUUGUCCACCUUCCCACAGACAGAGCAGGUGUCCUCAAAGAUGCUCUGUGUUACAGCCUCAGAGGCAGCUCAGAAGCCCCCACUGACCUAGACUGCUCCCGGUGGAUCACCUGAGUCAGACUGGACAGCCACACUGAUUCUCACUUUUCCAGUCUGUAUUUUAAGGGGAAAAUCUCAGAUUUUUGGAGAGUGAACAUGGCAGCCAGUGGGUGUGGCGCUGCAGAGGGCCACUCCAGGCCCAGGUUGCAGGCCAGAGGACAGCAGAGGCCUAAAGUUUUGCACUUUGUAUUCCUCUGGUCCUGCCUGGCCACAAGGCUUUCCUCUCUGCCCGUCAUCCCUCCUGCUAGGCCCCAGACACUGCGUUUUCCCAGCAAGCAGCCUUUGCAGUCCUGCGUAUCAACAUCCGCUUUGCUCCUCAGGGUACUGGAUCACCACAAAUGCCGUCCGACUAGAAUCCCACCGAUGCACUGCGGCAUUCCCUAUUCUUAUUUUUUUUUUCUUCCGCUGUACCUUAGCCUUUUUGCUUCAUAGCACUCCUGCUGGUUUUAGAGGAAGGAUGUGAGUGUUUUUUUGAAGGCUCGGAGGGGCGAGACUAGGAGGAAUUUGGAGGCAAGCUGUCUACUUGGACCCCUCGCAAAUAACUUGGGCCUGUGCUGAUGCAUAUUUUUGAAGCACUGCCUGAGUCACCCUCUGACCCCCCUGUGAUUUGAAAGAUGGAAGCAUCUGGAGGGAUGUAGAAUGCCAGGUCAGGACUUCACAGAGAGGCAGAAGGGUCCCCUUUGCAAAUAACUAGAUGUUUCCACGAAUACUGAUAAAAUGAUGAUGCAGGCCUCUAUUUUUAAUCCCUGAGUUGUCUGAUUGGAAAAAAAAAAAGAGCAAGCUUUAGCUUCAAAGACCUUUAAAAAUAUCUAAAAUAUUUCAGAUAUAGAGUAUAACAAACAGCUCAGAAAAAGGGUCUCUGGGGAUGAUGAAAGCAUGAAGGGUAGAACAGGCAGGUGAGGCCACAUGAGAGAGGAUCAGGGCUGGGGACACUCGAGGUAGCAUCCAGUGGUGGAGGCAUGAUGUGGUUGUAUUUGGUCCAGCUGGUGUUUAUCAACCACUGGAACCCAUUUCUGCAAAGCAAGGCCUGAGGACCAGACCAGUGGAAGGACCAUAGGAUCUGAGAGGAACCCUCUCCUUGGCACUACAACUCUCCUUCCUCUAUGAAAUGUUUUCCCUAGCUUUUGUUUUUGUCUUGCUUUUAAGAAGAUUUCCUUUGUCCUUUUAGCUUGUUGUUGUUUAUCCUACACCCCACACAUAUUUUCUAUUUCUUUUCUUCAUUUCUUGUCUUCACUCUUUUUAUCUCUUUGGCUCUAUAUGCACCGCUCUUUACCCUAUUCUGGAGUACAGUCUCAUUCUUUCAGACUAAAUAUUUUUCUCUGCUCUCCACUUAUACAAAAUGGGCAGAGGUGGCCUGAGGCCAGUUUUCCCUUGGAAAAAUCAAGGACACUGAUGCUGGUGACUGGGUUCUGCAGAUAGGACACAGGCUGGAAGAUGCAGGCUGUUUAGACGCCUGGGAUCUACAAAGACAACAGAGAGCAAAGAAGUCUGCAUCUUUUCUCCCAGUAGCCUUUGCCUGAGCCAUGGCUAAGGUUGGGGGGCAUUUGUGGGUUAGUGCGGUUGCUGGCAAGCAACAUCAGAAAACUAUUUCCUCAGGCCCGUUUUGAGAAUCUUCCCCCUGCCAACAUUAAGGAGUUUUGAUUCUUGUUCUUGUAACUGAAAAGCCUCAGUACAGACAUUUCAGAGCCAAAAGUCAUGCUUGAGAAGGCAAGAGACAAUACUUUCUCAGUGGAUCCCCUUUGCAUCUCUCUCUCUCUCUCUCUCUCUCUCUCUCUCUCUCUCUCUCUCUCUCUGUGUGUGUGUGUGUGUGUGUGAUGACUGUAGAGCAACCAGCCAUUUUUGCCCUGAAAUUCCAAAUGCCUAUAGAACUGGAUAGCUUCUUGGUUGUUUGGUCAUUCAUUCAUUCAUUUAUUCAUGCAUUCAUCCCAGUGUUGAGAUAGAAUCCAGGGCAUGCUGGGUAAGUGCUCUACAACUAAACUACACCCCCAAUUCGGAAGCUUAGUUAAAGCUCUUGGCUGUUGUUCAUGGGCGCUAGACCUGUGCUGUGUAACAUCCCCACUGUGCAGCUGAAGAAUCUGGCCAGACGGACAAAUAUCUCGCCAAGUUUAGUAAGUGCACGGAUGACAGAACUGGGGCUCAAACUUUUCUAAGUCUCACCCCAAAGUCCCUGAUGUAUUAUCAGUGCAUCCAAGAGGCUUAAGACUGCAGCAUUCUGAUGAGAGAACAUUCUGGAAACACAGAGCUCUGAGGAAACAACUGGCUAGAGGUGAAGAUAAGCUGGUCUUUGUGCUGGCUGCCGUUUGUGGCUGCUGGACCAGGGCCUUCUUCCUGGAGGCCUACUGCUUCUAGGAUGCCUCCCAGAAGCCCCAGCAACCCCUUUGAGGUUGUAACAAACAAACAAACAACCUCCAAAAAUUUGGGGCCUGGCCUGCAGCCACAAGCUCCUUGACUUAUAAUGCAGUAACUUGAUGUUGGGUGUGAGAAAGGAUGCUGAAAUGCUGAGAGGGACUGGCCUCUUUACCAGUGGAUGACUAGUCUGUAGCUCCAUUGCUGGUCCCUAAAAUCUCUGUAGGAAGGAGACAGGUCUCAGUAUUUGUAAGGCAGAUUUUGCCAUUAUUGAAAUGUUUUUAAUGUGGUGUGUGAUUGAGCCACAAUCCAACCAGAUGUUCCUUGAGCGCGAGGUAGAUACCAGGCCAGGCACAGAAAUGGGUACCAGGAAUACAAAGGUAAGUAGGCCUUGGUUUCUGCCAGCAAUGGCUCUGUUCUCCCUUGGGCGCACUAAUGCUUUCCUACCAUAGGUUCAUUCACAGUUUCAUUCAUUCAUUCACCCGUUCAUCCACCAUUUACUCAACAACCAUAUGUUAAUUGCUCUGAAAAGUCCACUGCUUGCUUUCCCCUCAAGUCUUCUCUGCUAAAAGCACCUGUCCAUAGUUUUCCCCGUUCUUCAUAAAUUCGCUUUUCAGAUCUCUGCUUUUCCAUGCCACAACCUCAUAAAUCCUUUCAUUUGCCCCUGACCAUCAUAAAGUCAGUCAGUAGCAUCUUGAGUGAGUAGAAUGGAUAUUUUUAAUGUGUGAAGUUGAAGGUGUGAAAAAAAUAUUGAUGAUCUUUUGUGCGCAAAUGGCACUCCACAGCAUUAUGCUUUUUCCUCCAAAAUAGGCUUUAUUCAACUUGGACAACAGCAUAUUAAACUACCUUCAGUAUAAGGAAACAGUAUAGUUUAUUCCUUCCAAAUUUGACUAUGGGCCUAAAUUUUCUUUAGUAAUGCAAAAUUCUUUUGUCACCUCCAUUUUGGGACACUGUUAUGAAAUAUUGGGGGAAAUAUCAAGUUCCAAAAAGUUGAGUACAUUGAAGAAACAAGUAUUUAUCAGUCCUUAUGAUGCACAUUUGGACCAUGUGAAAAUGAACAAGAAGAUUAGUAGACGGAGGUUUAUGUAAUAAUUUUUAUAUAGUCUUUCUCGACAUAGUAUAGAUUGGGAAUUUAGACUUUAAGAAAAAGUUUAUGAUGAGCAAGCUUUUGAUCCGUUAUUAUUUAGACAAGAAAAGUACCACAAGGCAUGGCUUGGAAAGUUACUGUUUUACUUAGAACAUUUUUAUUGUACCAGACUACUAACAUAUAAAAGUGUAUGGAGAAUACAGUCAUGAAAACCUGUGAAUAUUUUACCAAGGCUGAGGAAUAGGAUGGCUGAGUGAUUGUACAUUUGCAACUAUUAUACUUUCUAAGCAUUAGAACUUCUGGAUUAUUCAACUUAAGAUAUUUUCUUAGGGGAAAGGCCUACCACUUUUCUUUUUUUUAAUGUAGAAGAGCUAACACCUUGUUAUUUGUUUGAUCUGCUGUUUUUCCUUUUGUGACAUGGAACUUUUUUCCUGUUCUUUCUUGUAGUCUACUGACAAUGCAUUUUGCAAACAUAUAU